CCCGGGCCCCCUCCAGGCUGAGCACCUCACCGUGCAGCGUGGUGCUGCAGGCAGAUUUCAGCUGGUGCCCGUGGCAAAGGCAGAGCUGGCUAACAGCUCCCCCCGCCUUUCCACGCAGAUCCCCCACAACGAUUCCUUUGAUGCAGACUUGGUUCUGGAGGCCUGUCUCCUUGGCCCACUGGUACCGAACCUCUACGGCCCAGCUGCUUCUCACAUGUUCCUAGGGGCAUUCCCCGACGGUGCCGAGGAGAACGCAGAACGUCCGAUGCUCGAGGCUCCCGUGGCAGAUGGGGUUUGCCAAGAGGACGCCCUGGAGCCUCGCGCAGGCCGGGGCUCACGUUCAGCACUUCCAACCCCCAGUGCUUCUAAAGGGCUGGAAGACUCCCUGCGCCGCUCCUCGCUGGCAAGGAUCCGGAGUCAGAUAUCCCAGGCUCGCCAGGAGGCCAUGGCAGCCAGUGAGAGCCACCACAGCCAGUUGCCUUCACUGCAGAUCACCAGAGUCAACGGCCAUGGCCCCUCCAUGUCUCAGGUCAGCAGUCAGACGUCCAAGGUGAGCCUGUCAGGGAUCCUACUGCAAACACCUCGCACCACAGUCCUGAAGCCCCCCAGGUCCUAGCUCUGUGGUUCUCAGCCUGCAGCCCAGUCAGCACACAGCUGUGGCCCAUGUGACGUCCUAAGGGCCAUACAAGUAGGAUUGGAUGUGGCCCUCAAUGGGUUGAGAACACUGCCUAGCUGCUCUCUGGGCCCCUGAGCUGUUGUGGCCUGGGCAUGUUUGCUUCCCUGUCUGUGACUGUCUAGCUCACUGACCUCUGCAUCUCCAGCUCUGAGCACCACGCACGCUGUCCCGGCUCCAGGCAGCCUGUUGCCCCAGCCUGGAUGCAGCGGGCAUCCGAGCACCCAGCCCUGCAGUGCAAGGUGCUGAUGUUGUCUCCUGCUAGAACCUUCCUCUCCAAGAACCCCGCAGAGGCGUGUGGCUCGCUCCAGAGCCAUCCAUGCUGCCCAGGGGGUAAAAGCCUGAGCUCUUUCCUUUCCUGCAUGGGCCUGAGUCCCAGUGCUGAGUCACCAUCCGUCUGCUCUGGGGAAUAGCUCCUCCCUACUUAGCCAUUUCUCGUUUCCUGCUCCGGCCCUGGGCCUCCCAGGCCUUGGUGCCACCCACAGUGGGUGAGGAUCUGUCAUAACCCCUGUGACGCAGGAGGGAGCAGGGCGGACUGACCUGGGAAUGUCAUUUAGUUUUACUGGGGCUGUC
rnacentral:lncRNA from 1 species